GGAAAUUCCCAACACUUUUUUCAUUGCAACAGCAAAAUUAGACUCAGUGUUCAGCAGAGAUUUGCAAAUGAUUUGAAAAUUCAACAAUAUUGGAUUCUAAACAUAAUAGAACUUUCUGGUGUGAUCAUCUUCAGUCAGAGACUACAGUGUGUUCAUGUUUUUGGCCUGGUCCAUCCCAGUCCUCUAAAAGGCGUUAACUUCAGCACUCAUUCAUCCUCAUUAAUCUAUCUUUGUGUGGAUCUACGGGUGUUACCAGUGACUCAGAAUAGCUUAGACUGUGCAAUGAUACUGCGCAACAUUUCACAAUUAGGCAAUUUUCGGAGUAAAGGAAAUGUACAUUUUUAAACAAACUGGACAUGAAACUGUCAGUGAUGGAGCCUCUAUGACCCCUAUGAUGGAUGGCCAGUAAAAAUCUGCCUUCUAAUGUUGUUGGAUGAUCUGAUGUCCUACAGUGAAAAAAUGUUUCAUGAUUUAAAUGUCAGGUGGUUGUUUAUUUAAUUAGGUCCACUUACCAUAGACGUGCACCUGCUGUGUGGUGGUUUUGUGGUGGUCCUGACUUUACCACUAAUAAACAGGGUAAAGGCUGACAUAUUAUGCAGAGAAACAGAUGGACUACAGUCUGUAACUGUAGAACUACAAAGUGCUCCUAUAUGGUAAGUGGAGCUGACAAAAUGGACAAUGAGCAUAGAUACAAGGUAGGUGAACCUAAUAAAGUGGCCAAUGAAAAUAUGUUACAUCAACUCAGUUGCUGCCUUUUAGUUUACUUCUUUUGGCAGGAACUGUAUUGAUGUAACACACUUUAUUCUAUGCGAUGUGCAACCAUUCAACACAUUUGAAUCAGGCAAACUCAAAACACUGCUUUGCUAUAAGGGUGUUGUAAGUAUUUUGUAGUCUGAGGCAUGUUUAGCUAGCUAGCAUGAUCUAUUUUGGUUCCUUUCUAAUAGUGGCCUAAUUGUUGCUAAAGGUAAACUGCACUUAGGAAGCAUUAAGAAAAAAAAGAUUUAUCUACUAUUGGCCACUGAAACCGUCCUUUCCUCAGACAUUAUGAAGGCCGGGUUGCCAGAUUUGCUGGUUUCUUACCAAUUUGGGUGUUUUGGUUGGAAUGUGCCUUGGCGGGUGGACAAAAUUUGGUCUGGUGUGUCAUGAUUUUGUGUUUUCUUAAUAAAGUACAUAAAAUUAAUGAACUGCAUUGCAUAAUAAUGCAGCUGGAAUUUGAGUAAGCCUAUCCUCUCCCCACAUCAGCUACCAGUUGCCCCAGCCAUCAGCAAUGGCAUGACCUGGCAUGAAUUGUCCAUAUAUGUAUGUGAGAAAUAGUUAUGCUUCUUUCUUUUUUUGCAAUAUUAUCAUUAUUGUUUACCUUUUUCUAGGUGGAGUCUAAAAAUUGCAUUUAAAAAACUGCAAAC